AUGAAAAUAAUCGGAUGGAACUGCCGAGGACUCAGGAACGGCCCGGCAGUUCAUAGCCUCCUCGAGAUGGGGAGGAUGGAGGUGCCCGAUGUACUGUUGUUGGCGGAGACAAAACUGUCGGAGAAGGAGUUGGAAAGGUUUCGUUGGAUGUUGGGUUUGCCUCAUAUGGCGGCAUGGAGUGCAGAAGGGCGAAGCAGGGGGGUGGUGCUAUUCUGGAGACGCGAGGUGGAUAUUACGCUUCGAUCGUUCGGAAGAAGACAUGUGGAUGUGGACGUGAAGGAGGAGGAUGGUAGAAUCUGGUGGCUUAUGGGGGUAUAUGGAGAGUCAGCGGCUGAUCGGAAGGUGCAGACAUGGAAAACCCUAUGA
rnacentral:rRNA from 1 species